UACGUAGGGGGCAAGCGUUGUCCGGAUUUAUUGGGCGUAAAGAGCGUGUAGGCGGCCAGGGAGGUCCGUUGUGAAAACUCGAGGCUCAACCUCGAGACGCCGAUGGAAACCCCCUGGCUAGAGUCCGGAAGAGGAGAAUGGAAUUCCUGGUGUAGCGGUGAAAUGCGCAGAUAUCAGGAAGAACACCCGUGGCUAAGGCGGCUCUCUGGGACGGUACUGACGCUGAGACG
rnacentral:rRNA from 1 species